rnacentral:rRNA from 1 species
UACGUAGGGAGCAAGCGUUGUCCGGAAUCAUUGGGCGUAAAGAGCGCGUAGGCGGCCGUGUAAGUCCGCUCUGAAAGUCGGAGGCUCAACCUCCGAAAGCGGGUGGAUACUGCACAGCUAGAGUCCGGAAGAGGCGAGUGGAAUUCCUGGUGUAGCGGUGGAAUGCGCAGAUAUCAGGAGGAACACCAACGGCGAAGGCAGCUCGCCGGGACGGUACUGACGCUGAGGCGCGAAAGCGUGGGGAGCAAACAGG